CAACCGCGAAGAAAAUAACUUUAUUAGCCUAAUUACCGAGUUGUUAAUUGAGUUGCAAGGCACUACUUCCCGAUAUUGAUUUCUUCACAGAAGAAGGUCGUAUUAACUCAGAUUCGGGAUAGCAAUGAUUUUUGCUCGUCUGCGAAGAUAUUACUUCAAUAAAAAGGAAUCUGGCUACUUCGAUACACAAAAACGAGCCCUGUCGAGUCCUAGUUCUACCUGUUGGAUUCGGUCAAGGACAACUUCAUAAACGUUUUGCAGACGAUUGUGAUCGGUGGUUCGAUCAAUUAGAUGUUUUCCGGAUUCUUUACGACGCAGGUUCCGUAUCCUGCGCGUCAAGUCAAUGUUGCAACGAGGCAUAAACUAGCUUCACUUAAUGCCAUCUGGGUUUUGUCAGUUUCAUGAUAUCUCCCGAAUGUGUUUGGCUGAGAAGUAAUUACAAGCUGGUUCUGGGAGAGGAUAAUGCCAUGGAUCAGACUCAAUCGAAGCAGGACCAGAUGUCGAUAGUUUAGAUAGUUCAAUAAAUAAUUUAAAUAGUUUAGAUAGUUCAAUAAAUGAAUAAAGAUGCAUACAAAGCUAAAUAAAUUCAAAACAAUAUAUGCAUAAAGGUAGGGUUAACAUAACAUGUUGUAUAUGUUAAACGAACGUUGAACCGACUGCUUAUUCUCUGAGAGAGAGGAGCCAGCUCGCGUUUGUUGUGAUCGCCCUUAUGUCAGCGUGAACCAGUCACGGUGAACCAAGGGGAGGUAUUGAAAUAUGUAGAAAAUUUUAACAUGACAUUUUUGCAAGACAUUUUAUGAGAAAAUAAUAUUGACGUCGGACUACAUCUUUCAUUUCUAUACUGGGGUGUAAGUUCAAAGCUUC